rnacentral:lncRNA from 1 species
CUUCUCACCGUAGAAACUGAACACAGGGAGGAGAUGCCUUUACUCUGAAAUCCCACGAUACACACAGAUGCAUCAAGAUUGCCCUCAUAUAUGUGGACAGAAGGCGCAUCCUGCAAAAAUGUGAUUAAGUUGUCUUUACCCCUCAUGAUCCCACUCCAGGCCGGCAACCUCAGCUCAGAAUAGAUUCUUUUACAUGGCGCUUACUUGAGGCAAACAGGACAUGAUUACAGGAUUACAUUUCACUACUGAGCCCCAGGUUUUCUCUGGCAGACUCAUCAUCUGAGCCCUUCAUGAUUACAGGCAGCAACCUGAGCAGAGUAUCACCGGCUCCUCCCCUAGGUGACCUGUGCUGCCCCCCUGACUUAAUAAUCAAGUUGACAAGAUCUUCUCAGAACAGACAUUUACUGUUUCGGUUUUCCCGCUGGUGCUCUCUGAUCACAAGCUACCCAGUCUCCUCACUGUCCAUUGGCAUUCUUCCUGAUUGAAUGAGAACUGGCUCAGAGCCUGGACUUACCCUGAGAAAUUACAUGAUGAAGGAGGGAAAGAAAAGAGACACCUGUGCACCUCCUGGAGGGGCUAUGGAGUCAGGAAAGAACAAAGGCUUUAGAAGGCAGAAGCUACUUCUCCACCGCAACCAGGCUGAGGAGGCGUUGAGUGAAAAUGUGAAAAGAAGACGUCAUCAGGAGUGUCUAAGAAGAGAAAGGGAGUUGAACAAUUGUUACCGCUUCAGCCUGAGAUAAAUUUUCAGCUGAAUUGCUAAAAUAGGAGGAAUCUGGCCUUUUCCACUUUAGGAAAACAAUGUUCUGGAGAUGAAGCUUUUAAAGGAAAUGCUAUCUGAAUGCGUAUUGAAACAAGAAUAAUUAAACAGCCAUUGUUCUGGCUCAUUCCUUGCAAGUCUGAAAGGUUUCUGAAGUUGGGGCUCUAAUUAAAAGAAAAAUUUUCUUCUCAGAUGCAUCUCAGUGGUAUUUGUUCUGUUUUAUCCC